AGUUAAACAGUACGUGAAAUUGUUGAAAGGGAAACGAUUGAAGCCAGUCGUACCUUCGGGUAAUCAGCCUUUCGGGUGCGAUUCUGUGGAGUUUGAGGAGCUUAACACCUUCAUGCUUUGCAUAUUCGUGCUCUUGGGUGUACUUGCCCGUGUGGUUGGUUAACAUCAAUUUCGGGCACCAUAAAAUGGCUGGAGGAAUGUAGCUUCGAUCUUGUAUUGAAGUGUUAUAGCCUUCGGUAGAUGUGGUGAUCGAGAUUGAGGAUUGCAACGGAUACCUUUCGGGGCUACCUGUCUGAUCUCUGAUCGUUGCUUUGGUGCUGAAAGCGUGCUUAUAGUUAUCAAAGUCGAUGGUUAAUAGGUUAGAAUGGGUUAAAUUCGUUAAGGAUGUUGACGUAAUGGCUUUAAA
rnacentral:misc_RNA from 1 species